CAACAGUGUUACCUUUAACGCAACCAGGCCAGCCAGCGACUCACGGUCUCGUCCGGUGCAGAUCAUUUAUUUCUAAUCUAAGGAUAUGGAGUAUAAAGUGUACUUAAAUGAAGAGGCACCUGUUCCCGCAGCUACAAAAAGGCGAUGGACACAGAAUAUAAUAGG